rnacentral:rRNA from 1 species
CUUGGUCAUUUAGAGGAAGUAAAAGUCGUAACAAGGUUUCCGUAGGUGAACCUGCGGAAGGAUCAUUAUUGAAUCAAAUUUGAAACAGGCUGUUGCUGGCCACAUGGCAUGUGCACGCUUGCUUCUCUUUUAUUUCUCCAACUGUGCACAAAUGUUUUUCACAACCUCUCUCUGAAUGUAUUAGAAUGGCUUGAAUCUGGGGAAUAUAUAUACAACUUUCAGCAACGGAUCUCUUGGCUCUCGCAUCGAUGAAGAACGCAGCGAAAUGCGAUAAGUAAUGUGAAUUGCAGAAUUCAGUGAAUCAUCGAAUCUUUGAACGCAUCUUGCGCUCCUUGGUAUUCCGAGGAGCAUGCCUGUUUGAGUGUCAUUUGAACUUCUCAACCGCUCCAAAUCUGUUUUGGAUGCGGCUUGGAAAUGGGGGAAGUGUUUUGCAGGCCUUUUGUGAAAGGUCUGCUCCCCUGAAAUGCAUUAGUGGGCGACUGCCACAGGUGUGAUAACUGUCAACGCCUAGGCUAUAAGCUGCCGCUUUCCAACCCUUUUGAAAUGACCAACUGACCUCAAAUCAGG